AAUAUAUAUAUGGGAGCUAUAUCCAAAUCUGAGCCGAUUUUGAGGUAAAACAAAUUUAUUGUGAAAAAUGUUUCGUUGAAAUAGCGUUAUGCAGAAAAAUUGCUGUUGUUAACUAACGCAACAAACUAGAUGACAUUGUAAAAUGUAAAAGUGAUUUUAUUGACUUGGGUACUGAGGAUGGAAGGCAAUACAUGUGAAUCUAUAUUUCAUGAUAUUGCACGCAAAAUGCUAAAAUUGGUAUUUAUAACUGACGGAAAUAUACCAAAAGCUCCGUUCCAAGUUGUCCCAAAAGGUUAGAGAAAAUUCAAUAUUGCGAUUUCAGAGAAAAACAGUUUUUUUGAUUCAUUUACUUUGUGAGAAUGACAUAAAAACAAAUUGUUAUCGAUAUCAUUAAUCAUGAGAUGUUUUGCAUACAAUUAAUGAACAGUGAUGUCCAUUAUCAAGAAUUUACUAUGUGUGUCAUAGGUUUGCGUUUACCACCAUGUUUACCUUCAAAAGACUUCAUUGCUGGAGCUUCUUCAUCCAUUCUGACAACAUGCCCCAGCCAACGCAGCCGUUGUAUUUUUUAAAUAUACGGUGUCGCAGAAAACGAAGAGAGACUCAAAAUGGAAUCGACAGUUCGUUUUUUUAGAACCAUGGGACCAUUAAGAAAAAAUAUAAACAUUUUAAGCAAUAUAUUUCAUGUUUUAUUCGCAA
rnacentral:sRNA from 1 species